CAUAAGCGAGUAUCUGCGAGAAUUAGCGUGAUCUACCGUACAAUGGCAGUGUUAAUGUUACUUGUUUUUGUACUACACGUUCAUCACGUGGUCAGCAACGUCAAGAGUAACGCCAUUAACAACACCCACAACGUAAGCAGCGACAUCAUCGACAUGAAAGUUCGAAUUCGAAGAGCAUCGACAACAAUGAAGCUGGUCGGGGGUCAGUGGCCUUGGGAGGGACGGCUCGUUAUAACGGGAACCGAUGGGAAUCACGGGUCUAUGUGUGCAGAGAUGAUGACAAAGAAUGACAGAAACGUCAUCUGUAAACACUUGUUCUACCA